CCUACGGGGGGCAGCAGUGGGGAAUAUUGGACAAUGGGCGAAAGCCUGAUCCAGCCAUGCCGCGUGUGUGAAGAAGGCCUUCGGGUUGUAAAGCACUUUCAGUGGGGAAGAAAGCCUUGGGGCUAAUACCCUCGAGGAAGGACAUCACCCACAGAAGAAGCACCGGCUAACUCCGUGCCAGCAGCCGCAGGUAAUACGGAGGGUGCGAGCGUUAAUCGGAAUUACUGGGCGUAAAGCGCGCGUAGGCGGUCUGAUAAGCCGGUUGUGAAAGCCCCGGGCUCAACCUGGGAACGGCAUCCGGAACUGUCAGGCUAGAGUGCAGGAGAGGAAGGUAGAAUUCCCGGUGUAGCGGUGAAAUGCGUAGAGAUCGGGAGGAAUACCAGUGGCGAAGGCGGCCUUCUGGACUGACACUGACGCUGAGGUGCGAAAGCGUGGGUAGCAAACAGGAUUAGAUACCCGAGUAGUC
rnacentral:rRNA from 1 species